rnacentral:rRNA from 1 species
UACGUAGGGUGCGAGCGUUGUCCGGAAUUAUUGGGCGUAAAGGGCUCGUAGGCGGUUUGUCACGUCGGGAGUGAAAACUCGGGGCUUAACUCCGAGCCUGCUUCCGAUACGGGCUGACUAGAGGUAUGCAGGGGAGAACGGAAUUCCUGGUGUAGCGGUGAAAUGCGCAGAUAUCAGGAGGAACACCGGUGGCGAAGGCGGUUCUCUGGGCAUUACCUGACGCUGAGGAGCGAAAGCCAGGGGAGCAAACGGG